rnacentral:rRNA from 2 species
GGAGGGUGCGAGCGUUGUCCGGAUUUAUUGGGUUUAAAGGGUGCGUAGGUGGCUGUUUAAGUCAGUGGUGAAAUACGGUUGCUCAACAAUCGAGGUGCCAUUGAUACUGAAUAGCUUGAAAUAAUUGGAGGCUGCCGGAAUGGAUGGUGUAGCGGUGAAAUGCAUAGAUAUCAUCCAGAACACCGAUUGCGAAGGCAGGUGGCUACGAUUUAUUUGACACUGAGGCACGAAAGCAUGGGGAGCAAACAGGAUUAGAUACCCUGGUAGUCCAUGCCGUAAACGAUGAGGACUCGCUGUUGGUGUUCAUGCAUCAGCGGCUUAGGGAAACCGUUAAGUCCUCCACCUGGGGAGUACGCCGGCAACGGUG